rnacentral:SRP_RNA from 1 species
GCCAGGCAUGGUGGUGCAUGCCUGUAAUCCCAGCUACUCGGGAGGCUGAGGCAGGAGAAUCGCUUGAAUUCAAGAGACAGAGGUUGCAGUGAGCCGAGAUCAAACCACUGAACUCCUGCCUGGGUGACAGAGUGAGACUCCGUCUCAA